GUACUUUCACCAGCACCCAGCAGUAAAGAAGCCACCCCUGCCCCUUCUACCCUGAGGUGUUGGGAGGCCAUGUGGGAAACAGUAAUAAGGCAUGCUUGCCCUCCCAGCCAGGUGGUAUCAACAGACACCAAGUGAAGAGCUGAAAUUCCCACACCUACUUAGCAGUAACAAAGAUCCCCUCCCCCCAGGUAUCAGUGGAGGCCAAGUAGAGAAUUUGGAUUUCCACCCCUAUCUGGCCAUAACAAUGCAAUGCCUCCCCUUCCCAUGUCAGAGCAGUAUCAAAAGCCAGCUAAAACAGAAGAUUCAAUAAGAUCCAGAGUCGCACAACAUAAUACUCAAAAUGUCCAGUUUCAAUAGAAAACCACUCAUCAUGCAGUGAAUAAGAAAAAACCAACUUAUAUGAGAAAUGACAAUCAAAAGAUGCCACCACUGAUUUGGAUUUUAAAACAGCCAUGCUAGAAAUGUUUUUAUGAACAAUAAGGAACAUGUUUGAUAGAAAUGAAACACUAGAAUGUCUCAGCAAAAAACAAAGAAAAAAGAACCAAAUGAAAAUUUCAGGAAAAAAUAGCCAAAAUAAAAAAUUCAAUGAAUGGGUUCCACCGUAAAAUUGAGUGUAGAACAAUAAAAAUUACACAAUCUGAACAACAGAGAGAAAACAGAAUUAAAAAAAAAAAAUGAACAGAGCCCCAGGGAUCAAACACUUGUAUAAUCAGAUAUCAAAAAGAAGAGGGAGAGAAAGGAUGGGGCUUAAAAAAUACAUGAAGAAAUAAUGGUUGAGACAUUUCUAAAUUUGGAAAAAGACAGAAACCUACAGAUUAAAUAAGGUGAGAAGAUCCCAAACUGGAUAAAUCCAAAGAAAUCUAUGCCAAGACGCACCAUAGAAAAAUUUCUGGAAAUAACAAAAUCUUGAAACCAGCAAGAGAGAAACAAUACUUUACUGACUUACCUACAGGGGAAAAAGAAUUCAAAUGACUGCAUAUUUCUCAUCAGAAACCAUGAAGUCCAGAAGGAAGUGACACAAUUUUUUUUCAAGGGCUGAAAGAAAAGAUCUGUCAACCCAGAAUUCUAUAUCCAGCCAAAAAUAUCCUUUGGAAUGAAGGGAAAAUCAAGAAAUUCUCAGAUGAAAGGAAACUAAGAAAAUUUGUCACUAGCAGAUGGCCCCUAAAAGAUGGCUAAAAAAAAAUCCUCUAAACAAAAAGAAAAUGACUAUUAGAAUAUUCAGAAAAAGGAAGAACAAUGGAAAGAGUAAAAAUAUGGGAAAAUAUAUUUCCUUCUUAAAUUUCCUAAAUUAUGUUUGGUGAUUAAAG
rnacentral:lncRNA from 1 species